rfam:Saccharomonospora viridis DSM 43017, complete genome.
GCCGGUCCUCGGUAGUGGUCGCCGGGAACCCGUUCCCGUCGGCUUCGAUCGAUGACCGGC